rnacentral:rRNA from 1 species
GAUGAACGCUGGCGGCGUGCCUAAUACAUGCAAGUCGAACGCUGGAGAUCUAGCUUGCUAGCUCGAAGGAGUGGCGAACGGGUGAGUAAUACAUAAGCAACCUACCCACGAAGACUGGGAUAAUCUCUGGAAACGGGGACUAAUACCGGAUAGGUAAUCGGAAGGCAUCUUCUGGUUAUUAAAGGUUAAAAACACUGGUGGAUGGGCUUAUGGCGCAUUAGUUAGUUGGUGAGGUAACGGCCCACCAAGACGAUGAUGCGUAGCCGGCCUGAGAGGGUGAACGGCCACAUUGGGACUGCGACACGGCCCAGACUCCUACGGGAGGCAGCAGUAGGGAAUUUUCGGCAAUGGGGGCAACCCUGACCGAGCAACGCCGCGUGAGUGAAGACGGCCUUCGGGUUGUAAAGCUCUGUUGUAAGGGAAGAACGGUAGAUAGAGAAUAUCUAAGUGACGGUACCUUACCAGAAAGCCACGGCUAACUACGUG